rnacentral:RNase_P_RNA from 1 species
GGCAGAGGAAGCCCGGUUCCCGUGGGCGAAGCCCGUCUCGGCGUGCCGCCGGGCGGGUGCGCCCAUGAGGAAAGUCCCCCCACCUCCGGGCAGGUGACCGGGCGCAAGCCCGGAGCGGGAGACCGCUGGCGCUGGAACAGAAACGAGACCCCCCGUCCCGACCGAUGAGGCGCGGGCGCCGCCCGGGGCGUCGCCGCCGACGGACGGGAACGGGUGGAACGGCGAACCCUCACCGGUGCAAGCCCGCCGGACAGGUAGCCCGGAGUCGCGGCGGGUGCUCAGCCGAAUGCCGGGUCGAAACAGAAGGGGGCUUACUAUCCUCAGCC